CGAUGGAGGGGGAUAACUACUGGAAACGGUAGCUAAUACCGCAUAACGUCGCAAGACCAAAGAGGGGGACCUUCGGGCCUCUUGCCAUCGGAUGUGCCCAGAUGGGAUUAGCUAGUAGGUGGGGUAACGGCUCACCAAGGCCACGAUGCAUAGCCGACCUGAGAGGGUGAUCGGCCACACUGGGACUGAGACACGGCCCAG
rnacentral:rRNA from 1 species